UAUACCUACGGGCGCAGCAGUGGGGAAUAUUGCACAAUGGGGGAAACCCUGAUGCAGCGACGCCGCGUGAGUGAAGAAGUAUUUCGGUAUGUAAAGCUCUAUCAGCAGGAACGAGACAAGACGGUACCUGACUAAGAAGCCCCGGCUAGCUACGUGCCAGCAGCCGCGGUAAUACGUAGGGGGCAAGCGUUAUCCGGAAUCACUUGGUGUAAAGGGAGCGUAGACGGCUGCGCAAGCCUGAAGUGAAAGGCGGGGGCCCAACCCCUGGACUGCUUUUGGAACUGUACGGCUGGAGUGACGGAGAG
rnacentral:rRNA from 1 species